GAACGCUGGCGGCGUGCUUAACACAUGCAAGUCGAACGAGAAUCUGCGGAAAGAGGAUUCGUCCAAUAGAAGCAGAGGACAGUGGCGGACGGGUGAGUAACGCGUGAGGAACCUGCCUUUCAGAGGGGGGACAACAGUUGGAAACGACUGCUAAUACCGCAUGACACAUUGAGGUCGCAUGGCCUUAAUGUCAAAGAUUUAUCGCUGAAAGAUGGCCUCGCGUCUGAUUAGCUAGUUGGUGAGGUAACGGCCCACCAAGGCGACGAUCAGUAGCCGGACUGAGAGGGUGACCGGCCACAUUGGGACUGAGACACGGCCCAAACUCCUACGGGAGGCAGCAGUGGGGAAUAUUGCACAAUGGGCGAAAGCCUGAUGCAGCGACGCCGCGUGAGCGAAGAAGUAUUUCGGUAUGUAAAGCUCUAUCAGCAGGGAAGAUAAUGACGGUACCUGACUAAGAAGCACCGGCUAAAUACGUG
rnacentral:rRNA from 1 species